CAGUAGCCGCGGUAACACGUAGGGUGCGAGCGUUAAUCGGAAUUACUGGGCGUAAAGCGUGCGUAGGCGGUUUGUUAAGUCUGUUGUGAAAUCCCCGGGCUCAACCUGGGAAUGGCAAUGGAUACUGGCAAGCUAGAGUGUGUCAGAGGAUGGUGGAAUUCCCGGUGUAGCGGUGAAAUGCGUAGAGAUCGGGAGGAACAUCAGUGGCGAAGGCGGUCAUCUGGGACAACACUGACGCUGAGGCACGAAAGCGUGGGGAGCAAACAGGAUUAGAUACCCCCGUAGUCCCUGUCUCUUAUAC
rnacentral:rRNA from 1 species